GAAAUGCGAUAAGUAAUGUGAGUUGCAGAAUUCAGUGAAUCAUCGAAUCUUUGAACGCACAUUGCGCCCGCCAGUAUUCUGGCGGGCAUGCCUGUUCGAGCGUCAUUUCAACCAUCAAGCCCCCGGCUUGUGUUGGGGACCUGCGGCUGCCCGCAGGCCCUGAAAAACAGUGGCGGGCUCGCUGUCACACCGAGCGUAGUAGCAUACAUUCUCGCCCAGGGCGUGCUGCGGGUUCCGGCCGUUAAACGACCUUCAUAACCCAAGGUUGACCUCGGAUCAGGUAGGAAGACCCGCUGAACUUAAGC
rnacentral:misc_RNA from 1 species